rnacentral:lncRNA from 1 species
CCAGCCCACAGCCGGCAAACACAGACUUAUGCUUUGAAAAUACUAAUAAUAACAGUGAGCAUCUACAGGUGGCAGACUGUGUUCCAGGCACUGGUUUACUUCCCUUAUCUCUUUUCCUAUUCUCUGAUCUCCUCUAAGGAGAAGCAGAAGACUGGACACAAUCCCAAUCAGAAGAUGAAGAGAGUCCCUUGGCAGCAAAGGCCUUAGAAAGGCAUGGAGGCAGAGGGGCUUGUAGCUGGCCAUGGGGAAACAUCCUGGGGACUUGGACUUCUGGCAAGGUGACUAAGGGCAGAACUGAGAUCUGCAGAUACUUACAGAUGCUCACAGAAUUUGGAUAUUCGCCAGACAUCCUGAAGAAGGAGAAGAAAAACAGCAGGACCUAAACAGGACCAAACUGUUUCCCUUGGAGCUUCCUACCACAGCAGAGAUAAAACUGGCCCCGACACGGGGUAUCCAGCCCCUCACCUGCACUCCUCGCCCUCCAGCAGCUUGCGGUAGGUGGCGAUCUCCACAU